CAUUAUCACAAUAUUGCGGAACCGAUCUUGAUAAAAGGCGUUUACCAACCAAGUCUUCCGUGCACUCACUUUACCAACCAACCCUUUAGUCCCAGAUCACUGAGCCCUCAUUUUAUGGCCUUCCGUGCACUGUCAAAAACUUCUUCUGCCCUGAUAUUCCCUGGUUCCACUGACAAAGAGCUCAUUGGUGAUGAACGCUAAUCUUCCAGAUGCAAGUCCUGGUUGCUGCGCAGAGUUUGUUCCUGCUGAAUGCAAAGGAUCUGGGAGAAUUUGAAGGGAGAAAAAGAAGCCUCAGGAGAGUUUUAGAGAGAUGGCUGUUAGUGACUUCACAUGCAUGAUACAUGAGCUAAAGGUUCAUUUUAUCUUCACCUCUUAACCUAGACUCAUCUUCAAAACACAGAAAUAUCACCUUGUUACAAACUGGUAAAAGCGGACCAUUCAUGUAUUAAACAGAAACAUGAAGGCAAGAUGAAAAAGUAGGAAAGACAAAUCAAGUUUCAUUUAUAAAUAACAUUGGAAGUUAUAGGCCACAAUACUAUGCACUUCAACAACACUAUUCCAUGUAUGAUUAACAACCACCAGCUGAAGUACUCUGCAUAACACCAAAAAUAAAAGGAAAAAGAUUUUGAAGAAUAUAGCCUAUAGUUGCCAGAUGUUUUAUGGCUGAUGAAUUAAAUCAUACAGAUCAACAAAAAAUAAUGUAGCAUCACUUAACGCUACAAAAUGAAAUUGUUUACUGCAUCACUAUUCACUAAUUGGAUAUACUUCUUAAUCCCCUGUAGUUGCAGAUACGUGAGCAGUAAUUGUCCUAUUCUGUAUCU
rnacentral:lncRNA from 1 species